ACGUACAUCGUCCACAUUUCCAGUUGUGCGAUCCUUCCAACAGAAAUGGAUGAGGGAGUCGUCCGUCUGCUGGAUGUAGACUUGACCUUUACGCUUGUCGGGCGUCACCGUGCUGCCUUUCAUAGUCAUCUUGCCAGCCCGAAACUCCACCAGGUACUUACUGGAGGAACCUCGGGAGCCAGACACCAUACUAGGGAACAAAGCUCCUGAAGCCAUGAUGAGGAUGUUCAAGAGAAGACAAAUUCUGCGAGAUCGCUCUUUGCGUGCAGCCCUCUGUUUCUCCUCCAGGCGUUCCUUCUCCGCACUUGCCGUGUCUACGUCCCCGCUCUCCAUGGCUCGGAUGUCGGGCCUCUGCCGGCAGUCGGUUGGCGCCAAGAGUCGCUCCAUACCGGGCUCCAGCUCGUUGAGUGUCACUGCAAAGCUGGAAAAGUUGUACAUCUGAACGAGAUGAAGAGACUUGGUGUGAGUCACUAAAUCUCCGGUUUUUGACCGGAUGUUUGAUGUCGACCUUUGCCGAGUGAGCGGGACGUGGCGAAAUCCUCCAGAGUAAGGCACUUCCUGGUAUUACAGUCACAGUCUCUUGAACCGCAUUCUCAUCUUCACAGUUAUUUUCCUGCACACACACACACACACCCAAACAGAAUACCGUAGUUACUAAAACUAUCAUACUCUAUGUAGAAGUACUGUACUUAUUACAAAUAGCAGAGUCACAGAUAUACACUUGCACACAUUAUACACAUUUCUCAAGCAACAGUGCAUAUCAUUGCAAGGCAUUAUGGGUUAGUGCUGGCAAUGAGCUACUCAUACAGUACAUUUCUGACAUAACAGCGGCAGCACAGUACAGAUACCAAAUACAAUGUCGUUAUCUUACCUGCUUAGUCAUGCCACUGUAUGUUAUUGUGAAAGAAAAGAAAAAUGAAUUCACAGAAUCCAGAGUAGGACUGGGAAAAAAAACAAGUCAAACAUGGGAACAAUCUUCUUUCGUCUGCUAAAAUUCAGUAUGGACCUAUUAACUUACGGUUUAGUUUUUUAAUAUAUUUUUGAUCAAGUGAAGUCCAACUCUGAUGCCACAGAUUGUGACUGAAAACAGAUGCCAUCCCUGUUGUUCGUGUUGGGAAACUACAUUUUAAGACGCUAUGUAUCAUACUUUAGCUGAAGUGUGCACACCUUGGGCAUCUGGAGACAGUAUAAGACAGAAAUAGGGAUCGAUUGUACAUAGAGGUGGUCUCAGCUUCUCAGUAUGACAGUCAAUCGAUAUAUUUGAGUAUUGUGUGCAAUUGGUAUUUCCUGUUAUGUACUAGCAUUCCCUCCUUCACUGCCAUUAACAAAACAGACAGCCAAUUCAGUUUGACUGGUAGGGUCUGUUGCUAUUAUUUGAAUACAUUGGACCUCUAUCGCCACUAAUAGUGGCCAGUAAGUCAACCCUGUGUAUUCACAUUGACCUGUACAUCUGCGACAGGUUUAGACUGAUUCCAGUGUUGCAGCCAAACUAGUUCCUGACACUCGGCAUCUUGUAAAAACUAGCUUCACAUCACCACGCAUGGCCCGAGCCACUUUGACUUCCAUUUAGCAGAAACAAUUCCAUCUGCCGUUCACCUGCUUCUGUUUCUUUGCGUCUGCUCCCGCUUUUUUGUCAGACUUCUUGUAUGCUUCAUAAACCCUGGGCUCCACGCUGUACAUGCACUCGGUCCACUUGCCGUAAAUCAUGCACCGUUUCUUCUUACUGGCCCAAGGAGCAGAGACAAACCAGAUGGCAUAAACGACUUCUGGCACAGUCAAGUUGCGCCUCUUACCUUCUGUCUUGUAUGUAACCCUCCACUUUGUGCAUCUCUUUCCCGAACAUUCCGCACGGUUUGAAGUUCAACACACACUUUUCUCCCGUGCUGAAUUACCAAAAAAACAAGAUCAAUAGCCAGAUAUUUUAAAAUAGUUCUAGUUUUACUGAAGAAUCCUCUCUCACUGUACCUGUGGUUAACUAUCUCCACCGUUCCGUACUGCUCGAUCCAAAGCUUUCCUAUGAUGACGUUAUGAAUGCAGCACAUUGGGUUGGUCCACGUGUAUGAUUCUUUAUGUCUGAAAGUAAGUCACAGCCUUUUCAACACUGCUUUGACCAUUUGAUUAGUAUGAGGGGAAACCGCAAAAGUGUUGUCUUCAACCAAUAAAAUAUGAUCCCGAAUAGAUAUCACUUUUUCAUAGUACAGUUAUGAAUACUUUUACGUUUGAGUAGCAGCGAAAUAAUUGAUAGAUAAUACAUUACCAAAUUAAUUGAUAUCUAUUUUUUGUAACUACUGAGUCAUUGUUUAACAUAAAAUUGUCGUAAUCCUCAGAAUUUCAGCCUCUUCUCAGACCUCUGUUGUAGAUUAGAAAAACUUACUAAUUAGCCUCAUCUCUAAUCAAAACCUCUACGUGUACUCACAUAUGAGAAAAUUUUUAGAUGUGUUUGGGCCAAACUACUAAAUGAAUCACCAAUUUGAAAUAACGUGUAGUUAAUGAAUAAUGGGAUUGAAAUUCAAAUGUCUUUCAUGCGCUCCAUCGAUUAAUGUGGAAGGUUACUUGUAGAAGUACUCAUUAACUAAAGGAUUAUUGAAUUUAUCAGUUACAAUUUUUUCAACAAUCGAAUACUCAUUUGGACAUCUUGUCUAACUUGAAAUUGUCCAAAUGCUUGCAAUUUCAGCCUCUUAUUUUCUGAUUUCUAUCAUCCUCCAUUUAGCUAUACUUCCUUUAGGUUUAAUCCAACUGUGGAAAACAAUAAUUCGCAUUUUGGCAAAUCUUUUUAUUGAUCUCUCAUACCAAACCAAGAACUGAAUCAUAAUUGUUUUUAAUGCAAUUUCUAUCUUGACAAUUUGAAAAAUACAGCCAUAGACUUCAUUACCUGGGUUAUGAAGUCUAUGAUACAGCUUUAUAUUGCCAUAAUAAUUUACAGUAUUGUGUACACAUUAAAAAUGGAUCAAAAAACUCAAGUGCAGCGUCUGGUGGAAUACCGUUGUCAUUUACCAAUUCAGCGUGAAUUACUAUAUGAAUUUAGCAAUAAUAAAUCCAAGAUUUAUUUAUUGAGAAUAUUUAAGUUAAGACAAAAACUAUGAGAGGAUAGCUGUAGCGACCCUUCAGUUGUGUUACAUGAACCGUUAUUAGAAUCCUGUAAUUUCCGAGCGUCUGUGAGGCCAUGAAGGGGAUAAUGACUUGUUGGUAAGAAUCCUAAAAAGCUCAGUCGGGCGAGGACAAGCGAGACAACAUGCCGUAAAUUUCAAGCAUGCUUACUUCAGGGCCAAAAGACAGCAAAGAACACUCAAAGCAUCCUCAUAUGCAAAUUUUCCAAAACAUUUCUAAAAGCUUUCCAAAUGAAUACAAACAAGUUCUCACUUUAGUAACUCCAGUGUCAUGGUGCCCUUGGGCUCGGCCUCCACACUUUUACCCCAGAAUUUGAGUUUGGGGUGAACCGAUCCAUGGAAUGCAAAUUCUUGCUUCAGAGACUCUGCGUGGAAGGCACUGACAGGUGGGUGAUGGCUCACCUGCUCUGAGAUCAAUCUGUAGCCUUCUUCCUCCCUUAAUUAGAACAAGAAAAUGAAAUAAGAUACCAACCAAAUUAGGAAUGUGCGCGACUAGUUAUUUAAUCGUUUAACCGCCUACACAUAAUUAAAAAUUUCGUAUUUUACUAGUCGGUUAAACGCAGCGUCAUGCAUCUUGAGCCACUUUCAGACAUACUGUGAACUCUGGUUAAGUCCUGGGAUUUAAACAGGUGCCCCUUAUGUCUAAAAGCAAUUUCCCGGGUCGACUGACACUGACAUUAGCCGGGUCACGUCCUAGUAUAAUGUCCGGUGUUCGGCCAUUCCUUACUACGUGGCGAAACGUCCUACACAAUGCUCAGCGCGCUUGCGCAAGCAUCCGCAGGCAUGCGCACAUCGGUUAGAAGUGGCGAGUACUCACUGUUUUUGUUUUUAUAACCUUUUCAUUGCCUCAAAGAUACUUUUUGAUUGUUUUACCCUCUAAUACUUUUAACCAUUGUUUUUUUGUGUUAGUUUUGAAGCAGUUGACCACAUUAGUCACGUAGCAUAUUUAAACAGUCCUUAUUUGAUAUAACUACAUUUAAGUAUUUUCUUAAGGCAUUUUUUAGUACGUUCUGCCUGUAUGCAUAUAAACUAGGGCUGUCAAACGAUUAAAAUUUUUAAUCGAGUUAAUUGAAAAGCGCUAUAUAAGUAUAACACCAUUUACAGCUUAAAAAUGAAUUAAUCGUAAUUAAUCGCAAUUCAAACCAUCUAUAAAAUAUGCCAUAUUUUUCUGUAAAUUAUUGUUGGAAUGAAAAGAUAAGACAAGACGGAUAUAUACAUUCAACAUACGGUACAUAAGUACUGUAUUUGUUUAUUAUAACAAUAAAUCAACAAGAUGGCAAUAACAUUAUUAAUAUUCUCUUAAAGCGAUCCAUGAAUAGAAAGACUUGUAGUACUUAAAAGAUAAAUGUUAGUACAAGUUAUAGAAAUUUUAUAUGAAAACCCCUCUUAAUGUUUUCGUUUUAUUAAAAUUUGUAAAAUUUUCAAUCAAAAAACAAACUAGUAGCUCCCCAUUGUUGAUGUCAAUAAUUACACCAUGCUCACUCAUUGUGCUUAAACCCAUAAAAUCAUUUGGACCCAAGCGCCAGCAGAGGGCGCCAAACACCAAAAAAACAGGUAACAAGCGGACAUUACACUGCUGUCAUUUUAAUCUGUUUGAGCGGGGCAUGUGCGUUAAUUGCGUCAAAUAUUUUAACGUGAUUAAUUAAAAAAUUAAUUAACUCCUGUUAACGCGAUAAUUUUGACAGCCCUAAUAUAAACAAAACAGGUUUAGAGCGCACGGUUGUACUUUGGGUGUCAAAUUCGACUAAUGUAGCACGUUUCACCGAUGUAGGAGAUUUUGGCAGAACACCGGGACACAGCAUGCAUGAAAGCAGUUGGUUAGUUCCCCGGUCACAGCACAAAAGCUGAUGAUGUAAAUAUCAUGGCGGGCCGAUCGUCAUUUCCUCUUUCUUCGUAGUAAGACAAAAAUAUGUAGUAAACAAACAAACAAACAAACAAACAAACAAACAUCGCAAUUAUCAACAUGGCAAACUGAGAAGCUAGCAAAAUUAAACUGGAAACAGAACAAAAUCAAUUUGCCGAUGCCAAUUGCGAGUUUUCUUGCUUAUAGACUUGUCACAAAUAAAAUCUGAGACUAGUCGGCAGGGAAAUUAGUCAAAAUUGCCAUCCCUAAUCCAAAUGUACUUUUUUUGUGGAUGCACAAGCCUGCACCAAUACCUCGUGAGCUCAAAAGUCUCCCCCAGUAAAGGAUUAAAUGGUUUCCCAGUCCGUUCUGAUUGAGAUGCUACAGCUGAAACAGCAAAAGCAGCAACAACCUGUUGUGAUAAUAUGCAACACAGAAAAGAGGUAGAUUCCAAAUGAAUGAAUUGACAUCUGACGGACAAGUUAAAAUGAACAGGCGUGCCUUGUGAUCCAUGUACAAUUUGGUCUAUGACCACAAUCGCAACUCAAAGACUAGAGUCUGAAAUCUUUUCACAUUCAAAUGAAUGGAAACAAUAUUUACAACUAUUACUGGAACAUUCUUUAACUCAAUGACAGCCAAUGAGCUAAUAAUUGUGUUUUUUAAAAAGCACUGCUAAUAUUAUUAACACUCACCAGACUCAUUAGUUGAUCUUACCUGCAUGCGAUCUAUCGAGUCAGGCAGACUGCAGGCUCUGUGGAUGAGGUGUGUGUGUUCCAUGUACUCCGAGAGUCUCUGGAGGAAGCUGAGUGGCUCAUUAAACACAAUUGGCAUGGCUAUUUUGGACAGCUCCUGCGGCAACAAAACAUUAACAUUGACACUACAGCGGAGGAAAAAAGUGCAUUUUUGAUCCAGUGUAAUGUUGCUUAAGCUAUUUUGGGCCUUCUGAUGAUCUAAAAACGUGAUUGCCAAACCAAAUAUAGAAGAACCAAGGGUUCAGUUGCAGCAACAUAAUUAGGAGGAAUCAUGAAAGGUGCAAUAAUAAAUGCAUGUUUGUCGAUGUCAGUUUAUAAGGCUACUUUCAACAAAAGAAUUAUAUGCAUGUCAAACCAUAACUAAAGCAUUUUUUUGGCUUUUUAAAGCUUGGUAUGACUCACCAUUCCGAUACAUUUCCUCAGUAUGCUUGUCACACUGAAAUUAGGUCUGGUAAUUGUUUCGGCAGGCAGGGUUUUCCUGGGUAAAAAAAAAACAACAACAAAGUUAAUUUGUUAAAGUGGAAGUCACGACAAGUCAUUCAUUUCUAUCAAAAGAAAAAUAAUAACUAUACCAAAUCAUCAGACAGAAUAACCGUUAAACAUAAGGAAAGUAAUGAAGAGAUUCAAUUGUAAGGGUAGGCUCACUACAGAUUCUGUGAGCAUAAGGUGAGUGAAACAAGAUGGCUAUCAUGUGGGAUUCCUCACCUCCGCUGAAAGGCCGCAUCGUACUUUGCAGCAGAGCCAUCGUUGACAUGCUUGCUGCUUUCAAACACCAGAGCAUCCUUGAAACUGACCUCCAAGGAAUCAUCCGACUCCAGCCCUAAAAGGAGACGACUACUUUCAUUUAUACACAACAAGCAAUAGACACUAGCUAAUGUCUGCAGGACUACAGCGCAUUAUACAGAGUAAUUGCUGUCAACCAAGGCAGGGCAGAGCAUGUUUAUUUGUAAACCACCAUUCAUAAAGAAUGAAAAAUCCAUUGAGGUCUACAGUGGGGAAAAAAAGAUGAGAUUAAGACCUGAAAGUAAAAGAAUGUCACUUGCCAAACCAGCUCAUUUGUUAUCGUUAUCGCCAACAACUAGGCUGAAGUACGGAACAUACAAUUGUCAGGAACAACAACAUAGUUAAUAAUAACAAUACAAAGAAGAAUAUUAGCGUUCAAUAAAUCAUUGAAACUGUACACUCAUACCCAAAUAUGCAACAGCUUAAGACACAUCUUGUUCAAUGAUUAGCUCUGUGACAGUGUCAUUCAGAAUUAAGCAUUGUUGGUGAUGCAUCAGCUUGCAUUAAAAGUAGGAAAAAGAUUUUUGACCAAUUAAUGGCGAUAGAUCCACAAACAUUUGCUAACAAGUUUCAAAUGUGUUUUAGUAAUGGUGAUGCAAAUUUCGAUCAAUUAUCAGUAUAAGUAGAAAAAUGCAUAAUGACCAGUUAAUAAAGACAGUAAAAGUCAUACAAUUUGUCAGUCUAACAAGUGAAUCAAAACAGAAUAAUUAAUAUGUUUUGGUGAUGAUCACGCAAAUUGUGAUUGUUCAAUUACACAGGUAUUACAAAAAUAUUGAAAUUGAAUGAAAAUCAGAGAUUAUAAAAAUUGUGUAUUAUGAAUAAAAGGUGUCAUGAUAUAUUUUUUGCAUUUGUUUUAUUUUUUACAUUUAAAAACUGCAUGUGAUUUAAUAUUCCCGAGUUCCUGUUUUAUUUUAUUACACAAUUCAGUUCCUGUUUUUCAAAUUCAAGUUGUGUUCAGUGUCAUGUGACUGUUGGAAUUAGUUGUCAAGUUCUCUAGUAGAAAAUUUGCAAUCAUAACAUCAAAGUGUUGCCAUAGACGUCCAAAACAUUUGAACUCGUGGGACUAGCAGUGAAUGAUCGUGUUUCAGUGCCAUUGACGGCGACAACCGUCCAACCUGUUUGAACUGAACUCGCAGCGAUCUGUACAAAUUGAUUGGACGUCUAUCGCUAUCAAUAGCAGCCGACUAUUAGUUUUGAAGAAAAGGGUGUUAUUCAUAUAGUAUAUCCCAAGUAGAAUAUAUAACGUGUGCCCUUUAUUGAAAUGUACAUUUUACGCGUAAAAUUUACGUUGUGUGUUAUCCAAAUGCCAGAAAUGAAAAGAUAAAGAUGCAACGACCGCACUCGACUUGACAGCUGUCUUGUCAGCCGUCCUCACCUGUCUCGGCGUCGUAAAACUCCUCUUCGCUGUUCAUAGUGGUCGAGAAGACACAGUCAGUCACAAGUCAUGUUGAAAGUAACUAGCGAGCCCCCUGCCUGGACUCCCUCGGAACAUCGCUGACACCUGAAACACAGCGUCUGGAGAAACACGGAAGGACGACCGGGCGGUUUGGUUACAGCGGGCGGGUGACAGCUGCCUGCAAAUGAGCACGUUUAAAUGGCUAACUAGCCCUUAGCUACGGUGCUGAUUCAAAACGUCCACCGAGACAUGAGCUAACGAUAGCAGCGCACUUUCAAAUAAGUGAAGACCAGCAGGGUUACUCUCACGUGAAAGCAAAUCGAGGUUACUUAAAAAUACCUGUGGUUCGAAUGAGGGAGCUACAAACGUAAACAGUCGAGGACAGUUCAAUUCAGCCUUUCCGAUGGGCGGAAGUAGGCGGCAAGGACAUUAUGACUGACGUCAGCAUCAUCCAGUCAAAACAAAGUUUGGGCAUUUUAUAUAAUACUAGUACAACACUUAGCAAAAAGUAUGGAAUCACUAGUCUCGGACGAGUACUCACUCAGACAUUUUAUUAUGCAGAACAAACUCAGAUAAAAAGCUUGAAAAAAAUCAUGAAUUAUUUAAAAAGUGCAACUCUUUAGCACUGAGAAACACUAAAAGAAAUGAAUAAAAAACAUUGUGGUGGUCAGUAAAUAUUACUUUUAUAGAGCAAGUGCAGGGAAAUAAAUAUAGAAUCACUCCAUUAAAUAUAUGGAAUUAUGAGAAACAAACAAAGAAAUAACAAUUAAAACACAUCUCUAGAAUUUAGUUGCACCACCUCUGGCUUUUAUGACAGCUUGCAGUCUCUGACGCAUGGACUUGAUGAGUGACAAACAGUAUUCUUCAUCAAUUUGGUGCCAACUCUCUUUGAUUGCAGUUGCCAGAUCAUCCUUGCAGGUCGGAGCCUUGCUGUGGACUAUUUUUUUUCAAUAAUUGCGACCAGGGGUGAAAGUGGGCGGGAACGGUCAGGAACUCAGAUUCAGGGUCGGAACGUAUAGUUCCGGUAUAAGAUUCAAGGCCAGAACGCUGUUCCGGUAUAUGGUGCUUUGAUUCCGAAAAUAUGAUCGCAACUGUCAAAACGCUAUGUAAAAAAAAAAGAAGAAGAAAACAAUCUACCAACAUCAUUUACAUUCACAAGUGUUAACAACAAGCAUAAUAAAGUGCUUGUGUAGCAUAAUCCGUUUCCACCGAUAUUUAUUAUUUGUUUUAUUCCACGGCAUGGAGGUUUCCCCAGCUGUUGCAGUUAUCUGAGUCUGACGAUGACG